ACAAUGAAGUUUUCACACUUGUACUCCAACUGCAUUCAGUAAACAAGUGAUGUUGUGUUUCCAGCACACUCUCAUCACAUACAUAACACUUUCGAUCCUCCAUUGAAAUAUUCAUUUUCUGCAAUCUCUCACAAGUGAGUAGUUGUCAUUGACAUGCCAACCAAGUAAUAAAUCUAUGUUAAGGGAGCUUGACAGAGUUCCAGAUUAGAUAAGCCUCUUUUAAUUUGCAACCUACCAGCAUAUGACAAAAUUUUAUCUUAGGCAGAAUGUAUUCUUGCUAUUAUUUUGUCAACUAAACGGUCUUAGGCUACUUGUUGGCCAAAGUCUUACCUCUCUUUCUCUUUCUCUUUCUGGUAGCUGAUUUGAUGGCACAUCACCUCUUCACUCGUGUCCAUUCCUUCUGAUCAUUUUUAAGACAUUAACCUUCCAUUAGAUUUCGACAACCAAGGGUUUUCCUGGAAGGUUCUGAUGGUGACUUUCACCAAAGUUGAUAUUAUUUAUUUUGGUGUAUCUUUUGUGUUCAUCUAUAAAUGUUAAGUUAAAUUAUUUGAUGAGUUAAGUCCUUAUAUUCGAUGUUGUUACAUUUUGGAAAAAUAUAUUGUUUUGUAACUGAGCCAUAUAUAUAGUUGCAUUGAAGAAUCAAAAAUAAAAGAAGAUGCACAACGAGACAUCUCCAAUUUGAAACUAUGCAUAUCUACUGUAUAGGUUACAGGUUACUGAUGCAUCAAUAUUUCUUAAUUUAUUUCAAGCUACACAUAUUACUUGGUAAUGCUCGCAAAAGGGAGAGUAGUCGUGACUAAUUAACUAACAUGUAUGUCUGCCACUAAGAGUUGAUUCCUUAGCCUCUUAGUGUGACUGGUGUUGUCUGUUCUAUAUAUUUGCAGGAGUUUCACAGAAAAUUUUACCAUCCAAGCAAUGCAAGAAUAUGAUUUUAUGGAGACGAUGACCCACAUGAACGUUUGCGGAUCAUAAGUGGUACUUAUUUGUCUGCCUCUUACAAUUUCAAAUGAACAUGAACAGUGUUAAUUCAUGUGGUUUGCCUAUACUAGGAAUCCUUCUUGAACAAUGCUUUUGCUCGAAUAUUCAUUACUCUUAUGUACAUUUUAGAUGUGUUAAAAGGACAUAUGGAUAUUACAAAAUCGUUGACAUUCCAAUCUCAGAAACUUUACCUACACCUAUCAGAUGCCUUAUUUUAUUUUAAUUGUUUUGCACAUAGCUCAACAACAUAUGGACAUCAUUACACAAAAUUUUAAAAAUUUGGGGGACAUGAAACGUUUUACAUUAUUUAUUUUGGGUAUCAUUUCUAGUACAACCAAGAAGCAUUUGUGACUUCCAAGGUAAUGGAAAACACGUUCCCAAUCUUCUACUUAGUUAUUACGUUCCCCUUUGUUAACUGUGUCCUUGGUUUUUUCCCUCUAUUUUAUCCCAGAUGUUAUUUUGGUAGUGCCAAUCAUCAGACCGUAUGUGUUCAGACAUUGUUUCAAUGUUCAUAUGUUUUUCUUUGAUUUGAGUCGUAUGAAAUUUACGAAAAAAAUAUAAUUGCUAUAUCACAUGUUUUCUUUCUGUACCUUUUUUGGAGCUUAUAUUCAUGUACUUUUCUAACUUUUGUUCUUUGUUCUCGGUUGGUAUUGAACUAUUGUUAUAUUUGGAUGAGUAUUGUAAUUAAAGUUCAUGAAAUAUGUGCUUUGAAUUUAGUUGUAGUACUUGUCUAUUGGUACAUCUAUUUGGCAUGUUUUACUAGUUAUAACUAAACUAAUUUCUUGAGGAGUUUUGAAUCCCUUUUCUUGAUUGAUUUGAUUUUUUUAGAAAAUUUAAAAUUUUCUACGGGCCUUUUAAACUAAUAAAUCUAUGAGUUGAUCAAGUUUUUGAGCUAGACUAAACAUCAUGAGCACUUAAAAUUAUAUUAUGCUUGCCUUCUUAACACUUUGUAUAGAAACAGAGGAUUAGUGGUGAGUUUUCUUCAGACAUGUAAUUUUUAUAUUGCGGAGAGUGUGACUCCACUGUCUUGUUUCAGGUAUGCCUUCUCCUUCUCCUCGUCCUCGUCCUCGUCCUCC
rnacentral:lncRNA from 1 species